GAAGAUUCUAAAUGAAAUGAAUAAGUAAUUAGUUAUUGUGAUAAAAGUGACUCAUAACAUAACAAAUAAAUACAUGAUCUCCAGUUUCUCUCUCAAUUGUUUUACAGUUUUAUACACACAUUUUUGCUAUAAUCUAGUUAGCACCUUGUAACAAUGUUAAAAACUGCUGGUAAUUUAGUGACUAUCUAAGAUAUGUACUGGACCUGAAGACAAAAAUGGACCAAGUCAAAAACAACUAAAUAUUUUAAAGAUUUUAUUACUCUUAAUCAUCAAUUUCUGCAUAAGGAAAUGGUGAAGUGAACUUGUGUAUAUCAGAGAACCUUUCCCUUUCUUUUAUCUACAUGUUUAAGCAGUGGCUAUACAUUUUACAUAUAAGUCUGAAAUAGAUUUUUGUUAAUUAAAAGUUGCACAUAUGCUUGAAUUAAAUAGGCCCAGUUUGAGCAACAGAUCUAAUUGUAAUGAGAACAGUCAUUUUGCAAAGAAAGCGCUAGUUUUGUAAAACAUUACAGUACCUAAUACAGUUUGAAGUCAUAAAACACAGACAUUAUGCUUUAAAAUUGUACUUCUUUACAUUUCUUUGACCACCGGACUUUUGUGUGUGUGAAACCUUUUCUAAACUAGAACCCACUGCAGUUUGUCGCAUGUCGCCAUCACGGCUUGUUAAGGCUGUACGCGUCAGAAUCGCGACGCAGCUGCGGUUUAUCUCGGCACUUGCCACACAGAGCCAUGCCUGCAUAAAUGACAGGAAUUUGGGAAACAUAAGCACCACGUCCGGACCACCUACAUUCUGCCUUUGAAACAGUCCGCGUUUUGCCGCUUUCUGCAUGUCUGCUUCUGAAUAUAAACAACCAGUGACUGCCGCAUCCCACCUGAAAGUUUUUAUAUAAAAUCCUGUAUAAAUCAUCAUGCGGGCCGGAUUGGACACCUCUGUGGGCUGUGUUCCGGCAGACACACCUGGUCUAGACAAUACGCCGUACAUCUUCUACGAUGAGGAUUGUUGUGUCAACACCACUCUGCCAUACCGACAAAGACACGAAAGGCUUUUCCAUCCCGAUGGGCUGCACCCCAGCAGAAUUGGACAGGAUCUGCCAUCGGACAUCAUCUCAAAGAUACUGCGCACUAUUUGACUAGUAAGUAAAACCCUUAAAAAUACCAACCUAAUCGAUAAAAGCACAUGUGUAUUUCCCCAGAUAGUGAGGUCAAACAAUAAGUUGCCUGUAAAAUCUAAAAAAAAAAUCAGAUUAUCAUCAAUCCACAAAAAAUAUCAAACAAAGUUAACAAAAAAAAAAUCAAAUUAGGGCUCCAAAACAUUAGCUCGCUCACACCUAGGGGUUUAAUAGUAAAUUAAAUGAUCACAGGUAAUGGUUUUAAUGUACUAUGACUAACUUAGACCUGGCUUAAACAGAAUGACUACAUUGGUUUAAAUACGUCUACUCCACCUACAGUAGUUUUUAAACUUUAGCCCCGUUUGUCUGAUUGUGGAGGUGGCAUUGCAACGAUCUACAUUUUUUUUUAAUAUUACUCAGAAAACAAUAUACAAGUUUAAGUCAUUUUAAAUAAUUGUGCUUAAGGUUACUCUAUCAUAUAUAAGACAAAAAUGCCUAAUAGGGAUCUCCAAGUCACGUGACCCCUAGCCACUUGUCAGCCAUUUUGAUGGAAUACAUCCGUCAGCUACUCAGUGGCAAUCAAUGGAUCUAUUAUUAGGGGUGAGUAAUAUAUAUUAUUAGUAUAUGAUUAUACUGUAAUUAUUUUAUAAUUAGCCUAAAUAUUGCAAUACUUUGCGCUACAGUAUUAAUAUAAUUGCGUGCGAAAAAAUUUUAACCGAAUAGAAUAAUUUUCCCCCCACCACUAUCUAUUAUUAGCGCAGCGGCCUCAGCUAACUCUUCACGUCAUGUCAUCGCACUUAUCAGCAUCACAAAAAGAUAUAUACAAGAGGAAGAUAAAGGAAUUAGGAAUCAUAGAUCCAUAUGAAGAACCACAAGUUCUUUAUACAGGCAUUAAAUGUGUAGAAAAACUUCCUGACAUUGAGUUCGGUGACAUUUACAGCUACCUUAUUCACUUCCCAUCACGCUACAUCGGAGCUUCAUUAAAAGCAUACAAAAGCUUAGCAGGCUAUCGGUAUCACGAGUCUGGAUGGGUCAGCAAUAGGGUUGCUGCGGUGACAGAAUUCCCACCGGUUAAUCAGCGCAUGACAAACGAAUGAUACCAGUUUCACCGGGUGGGAGGGGCUUAUAAAUGCGCAUGCAGACGUGCGCAUUUUACUUUCACUUUUGAAUUAGAUGCAACUGUUUAAAUGCAGUGCUUGCGUACGCUGCAUUAAAUCGCACAUGAAUCCGUGUGCAACGCGAGUGCAACAGCUGGUUUAAUUAAAUGCUUGAGCCAGUGUGUGCAGGUAAUUCUGACAGUACCCGCCGCCAGUCCCAAGCAGAGCAACCGGCUACUCCUCCAUAAAGCACUGCUUGAAUGAUGGGUUUAUUAUUAUUCUUAAUGAAAAACACAACAACAAAACGAUCUUGCUUAUAUUAAACAUCAUAUUUAAAUAUUAACACAAAAACAAGUAAACACGCGGCUUCUGCCAUCGUCUGGUCAGUCAGCUCGCCUCGCACACUGACAGGAAUAAAUGAAAUCUGACACCGGCUGCUCUGUGAUGUGACACGCGUUCAGCUCCGUUAAAUUCAGACAGAAGACACAUUCAGUGUUUGCUCGCUCUAACGAAACUAAAUGAUUUAAUUACAAGAAAAUAUCAAAACGACGGUGAAAAACGGUGUCGCGAUGAGCAAGUGAUCUAACCGGUGAGAGGCAGUUUAGCAUUUUCUAUUCCGUCAAGAUGGCUGCUCCAAAUGGCAUGGCGUGACGUCACACACGCAACCCUAGUCUAUACUGCUUUUUUGAAAAUUUGCAGCUUUUCUCUGAUUCAUUGAUAGUUGCAGACUUUAACAUGCAUGUAGAUAACACAAAUGAUGCUUUAGGACUUAUGUUGACAGACUUAUUGAACUCCUUUGGGGUCAAGCAAAAUAGUAACAGACAUAAUUGCAUCUUGUAAUUUUGCAUUUAGUCAUAAAUAACUUAUUAACUAGCCUCUUCCUAAAACAAGCUAUGAACAGCAGCUAUGCUUAUUUUUUUUAUUUGCUUUUCUGUUUCUACGUUGGGAUGCUUAACCUGAGGUAACUAGCGAUUACGCCAGCUCCAGUGAGAAUCCUGCAUCCGUCAGAUGUCCUAACACAUAUGGAAAGAUGACAUCUGCCCUUGCAAGGACUUCAGUCGAUGCCAACUUUGGACUACAAAUUGAUCCAUAAUUUUUUUUCUAAAAUGUUGUGUUUUAUGUGUAUUCCACAUUCUGUCCUUUUGUAAAGCUGCUUCGCAACAGUGUAAACUGUGAAAAGCGCUAUACAAAUAAAUUUAAAUUGAAUUCU